AGCCGGUCACAACAAGCUGCGAGGACCCACAUUUCCUUCAUGGCCGAGCGAGUGGUGCAGAGCUUUUAGGACAUACAUACUGAUUGGGAGAAACGGACUAACACCGACAUGCUUCGUAAGGACAGGAGGCGGAAGCAGCGACAGAAAGAGCUAUGUGAGGCAGCUAAAGGCGGUGGGUCCCUCACCAGCUGGAUAAAAAAAAGAGUACAGUCUGAGAUCAACACAGCCUUGCCCUCCAGCAUCAUCAGCAGCAGCAAGAGGAGCGACCCUGCAACAGCUACACUGUACCCCAUCAUCAGGUAAAACAGGACAGCAACAGAUCAGGAGGUGGAGCAGGUUGUCCAGUAAUCGGAAGGUUGCAGGUUUGAUCCUGACUUCAAUCAGAGAUUGAUGCUGUUGUGUCCUUGGGCAAGGCACUUAACCUGCUUUGCCUGCUGGUGGUGGUCGGAGGGACCGGUGGCGCCUGUGCUCAGCAGCUUCACCUCUGUCAGUGCGCUCCAGAGCAGCUGUGGCUACAUCAUAGCUCAUCACCAUCAGUGUGUUAAUGUGUGUGUGUGAAUGACUGACUGUGUUGUAAAGUGCCUUGGGGGGUUGUAGAACCCUAAGAAGGCAUUAUACAAAUACCGACCAUUUACCAAAACAAGUUACUUUUGCUUGACAUUGUCCUUAUGGUGUAUAUAAUGAUUUGCUUCCAUUCUGAAUUUCUAAUAAAUAUGAUUGGUUAUUCA